AUGGAUUUUAUUUAUGUCGAUAGUGUUGGAUGUUCAGAACUGCACAGGCUUAAAGAUAAUUUAUUACUGUUGUAAGUGAGAUUUUGUCAUUCACCACAGAAAUGGAAUUAACUAUCGUUGAAUGCUGCACAGUUUCCAGCAUGUGCUGGUGGGGUGGUUUAGUACUUCGCCGUUGUGUUCCACGUCAACCUUGCUCUUAUCCUUGGUCAGCAGGCGCCAAACUUUUACAUGUCACGUAACGCCAACGCUCACUUAACUUUCGUGAUAGUUCGUUCAGUAACCAACCAACAACUGUUCAAGUGUUCUAAGUCUUUAUUGUUCACCGUUCUUUCUAAGUAUAAUAAUCAGUAUAUAAUAAAGUAUCAUACGGGCCAUAUGUCUAGUCCACGCCCAAAAUCUAACCUCUAACAUGAGUAACAUGCGUUCAUAUAUACUGCUGAUCUCGUCCAGUUUGUGACAGGUAUGCAUAUCUAAUAUCUUAUUACAGACGAAGGGAUGUAUUCUAUAGUCAUGAACUGUCACGCUAAAUGGUCUAAUAGCCAGCGGCUAUCACGAACUGUCAGCAUCUAAGUGUAUCUACAUUUGAUCCCAUGAUGGAGUAUUUGCUUUUUGAUACAAAUAUGGAGUAUUUACUUUUUGAUACAAAUAAAUUUUGAAUUCUA